UUGCUUUGCUUUAGCAAGUAUACUAAAAUUGGAAAGAUACAGAAUCGGUGAGCAUAGCCCAUUGCACAAGAAUAACACGUAAACUUGUGAAAUGUUCCCAAACCAU